rnacentral:rRNA from 1 species
GGCCAGACUCCUACGGGAGGCAGCAGUGGGGAAUAUUGCACAAUGGGGGGAACCCUGAUGCAGCGACGCCGCGUGGGUGAAGGAGCGUUUCGGCGCGUAAAGCCCUAUCGGCAGGGAAGAAGGAGGACGGUACCUGACUAAGAGGCCCCGGCUAACUACGUGCCAGCAGCCGCGGUAAUACGUAGGGGGCAAGCGUUAUCCGGAUUUACUGGGUGUAAAGGGGGCGCAGACGGCAGCGCAAGCCAGGAGUGAAAGCCCGGGGCUCAACCCCGGGACUGCAUUUGAAACUGUCAGGCUGGAGUGCAGGAGAGGUAAGUGGAAUUCCUAGUGUAGCGGUGAAAUGCGUAGAUAUUAGGAGGAACACCAGUGGCGAAGGCGGCUUACUGGACUGUAACUGACGUUGAGGCUCGAAAGCGUGGGGAGCAAACAGGAUUAGAUACCCCGGUAGG